rnacentral:rRNA from 1 species
GACAGAGGGUGCAAACGUUGUUCGGAAUUACUGGGCGUAAAGCGCGUGUAGGCGGCUGCGCAAGUCGGAUGUGAAAUCCCAUGGCUCAACCAUGGAAGUGCACCCGAAACUGCGUAGCUUGAGUCUCGGAGAGGAAGGCGGAAUGCUUGGUGUAGAGGUGAAAUUCGUAGAUAUCAAGCGGAACACCGGUGGCGAAGGCGGCCUUCUGGACGAUGACUGACGCUGAGACGACGAAAGCGUGGGGAGCAAACAGG